rnacentral:rRNA from 1 species
UACGUAGGGUGCGAGCGUUGUCCGGAAUUAUUGGGCGUAAAGGGCUCGUAGGCGGUUUGUCGCGUCGGGAGUGAAAUCCACUGGCUUAACUGGUGGCUUGCUUUCGAUACGGGCAGACUGGAGGUAUGCAGGGGAGAACGGAAUUCCUGGUGUAGCGGUGAAAUGCGCAGAUAUCAGGAGGAACACCGGUGGCGAAGGCGGGUCUCUGGGCCGAUACUGACGCUGAUGCGCGAAAGCUAGGGGAGCAAACAGG